rnacentral:rRNA from 1 species
GCGUAUAUUAAAGUUGUUGCAGUUAAAAAGCUCGUAGUUGAAUUUCGGGGUCAGCAGGUUGGUCGUGCCACUGGUAUGAACUGGUUUCGCUGAUUCCUCCUUUCUGAAGAACUGUAAUGUCAUUAAUUUGGUGUUGCAGGGAAACAGGACUGUUACUUUGAAAAAAUUAGAGUGUUUAAAGCAGGCUAACGCUUGAAUACAUUAGCAUGGAAUAAUGAAAUAGGACGUUCAAACCUAUUUUGUUGGUUUCUAGGAUUGACGUAAUGAUUAAUAGGGAUAGUUGGGGGCAUUAGUAUUCAAUUGUCAGAGGUGAAAUUCUUGGAUUUAUUGAAGACUAACUACUGCGAAAGCAUUUGCCAAGGAUGUUUUCAUUAAUCAAGAACGAAAGUUAGGGGAUCGAAGACGAUCAGAUACCGUCGUAGUCUUAACCAUAAA